GUUUCUCAGGAAAGGAGAUCCAAAGGGAUCAUGNNNNNNNNNNNNNUGAUGUUUCUAAAUCCUUCUGCAACUCUAAUUUUUUCUUUUGGGGGACCAAGUCCGGCCUUGCAGAGUGGAAGGAGAAGUGGGCCAUGCUCCUGCCCUGAUUCCCUCAGCACUGCUGCAUGAGAAGAGCUAUUUGCAGAAAGGAUUUGCCCCUGCGGUAUGGGGUUUCCUAUUUCUCCUGCCUGCUCUCUGGCCAUCCUACGGCUGGAAUUAUGCUGCCUCCAAGAGGGCUGUUUCCAGCUGCAGAGGGGAACCACAGGGCUGUUCAGGUGGCAAAGUGGGGCUACCCGAGACGUCAUACUCACAAUAAGGCACUGAGAAACUGAGACAUGAAGCUGAGACCGGACACUUGCUGGGUGGGUGAAGCCAGAGGGAAGGACCGAUGGUGCUGCAGCGGGAUCGCCCAGCGCAGAACCAGAUGCCGAUGAAGACCGUUCCUGAGCUGCGGUCAAAGAGAAGGAGCCUAGUGGACGUCAGGCCACCAGCAUAUGCCGAUAGUAGGACGCACCAUUCAGAAAUUCUUGGUGGCUGCACACACAAAAUGAUACCGGUAAUAGGAGGGAUGUGUUGCACUAUUGUACGGAGCAUUACAGUUUACCAUAUUUUCAAAGAGCAUAUGAAUGAUAGGAAAGAUAAGGGAAUGAUUACUGAGCAGGAGCCUGGUUCAAUCUGUCUAUCAGACCUGGAAACAUUUGGCUCUUGCAAAUAAUCUUUAAUUAGAUAGGUCACACUAUUAAAGUCAAUGGCUUCUUCUGUGAACAAGGACUGCUCAGCAGGCUAAGCGUUUGUUGAACUGAUUUCUAAGUCUUAAAUGCUCAGAGAAAACACAUUUUUUUAAAUAAAUUCUUGUUGCUGUACUUCA
rnacentral:lncRNA from 1 species